GAUGAACGCUAGCUACAGGCUUAACACAUGCAAGUCGAGGGGCAGCAUGGUCUUAGCUUGCUAAGGCCGAUGGCGACCGGCGCACGGGUGAGUAACACGUAUCCAACCUGCCGUCUACUCUUGGACAGCCUUCUGAAAGGAAGAUUAAUACAAGAUGGCAUCAUGAGUCCGCAUGUUCACAUGAUUAAAGGUAUUCCGGUAGACGAUGGGGAUGCGUUCCAUUAGAUAGUAGGCGGGGUAACGGCCCACCUAGUCUUCGAUGGAUAGGGGUUCUGAGAGGAAGGUCCCCCACAUUGGAACUGAGACACGGUCCAAACUCCUACGGGAGGCAGCAGUGAGGAAUAUUGGUCAAUGGGCGAGAGCCUGAACCAGCCAAGUAGCGUGAAGGAUGACUGCCCUAUGGGUUGUAAACUUCUUUUAUAAAGGAAUAAAGUCGGGUAUGGAUACCCGUUUGCAUGUACUUUAUGAAUAAGGAUCGGCUAACUCCGUGCCAGCAGCCGCGGUAAUACGGAGGAUCCGAGCGUUAUCCGGAUUUAUUGGGUUUAAAGGGAGCGUAGAUGGAUGUUUAAGUCAGUUGUGAAAGUUUGCGGCUCAACCGUAAAAUUGCAGUUGAUACUGGAUAUCUUGAGUGCAGUUGAGGCAGGCGGAAUUCGUGGUGUAGCGGUGAAAUGCUUAGAUAUCACGAAGAACUCCGAUUGCGAAGGCAGCCUGCUAAGCUGCAACUGACAUUGAGGCUCGAAAGUGUGGGUAUCAAACAGGAUUAGAUACCCUGGUAGUCCACACGGUAAACGAUGAAUACUCGCUGUUUGCGAUAUACGGCAAGCGGCCAAGCGAAAGCGUUAAGUAUUCCACCCGGGGAGUACGCCGGCAACGGUGAAACUCAAAGGAAUUGACGGGGGCCCGCACAAGCGGAGGAACAUGUGGUUUAAUUCGAUGAUACGCGAGGAACCUUACCCGGGCUUAAAUUGCAGAUGAAUUACGGUGAAAGCCGUAAGCCGCAAGGCAUCUGUGAAGGUGCUGCAUGGUUGUCGUCAGCUCGUGCCGUGAGGUGUCGGCUUAAGUGCCAUAACGAGCGCAACCCUUGUUGUCAGUUACUAACAGGUUCUGCUGAGGACUCUGACAAGACUGCCAUCGUAAGAUGUGAGGAAGGUGGGGAUGACGUCAAAUCAGCACGGCCCUUACGUCCGGGGCUACACACGUGUUACAAUGGGGGGUACAGAGGGCCGCUACCACGCGAGUGGAUGCCAAUCCCCAAAACCUCUCUCAGUUCGGACUGGAGUCUGCAACCCGACUCCACGAAGCUGGAUUCGCUAGUAAUCGCGCAUCAGCCACGGCGCGGUGAAUACGUUCCCGGGCCUUGUACACACCGCCCGUCAAGCCAUGGGAGCCGGGGGUACCUGAAGUGCGUAACCGCGAGGAGCGCCCUAGGGUAAAACUGGUGACUGGGGCUAAGAC
rnacentral:rRNA from 1 species